rnacentral:rRNA from 1 species
CUUAAGCAUAUCAAUAAGCGGAGGAAAAGAAACCAACAGGGAUUGCCCUAGUAACGGCGAGUGAAGCGGCAACAGCUCAAAUUUGAAAUCUGGCGCAAGCCCGAGUUGUAAUUUGUAGAGGAUGCUUCUAGGUAGCGACCGGUCUAAGUUCCUUGGAACAGGACGUCAUAGAGGGUGAGAAUCCCGUAUGUGACCGGCCCGCACCUUCUACGUAGCUCCUUCGACGAGUCGAGUUGUUUGGGAAUGCAGCUCUAAAUGGGAGGUAAAUUUCUUCUAAAGCUAAAUACCGGCCAGAGACCGAUAGCGCACAAGUAGAGUGAUCGAAAGAUGAAAAGCACUUUGGAAAGAGAGUUAAAAAGCACGUGAAAUUGUUGAAAGGGAAGCGCUUACAACCAGACUUCUGGGCGGUGUUCCGCCGGUCUUUUGACCGGUCUACUCGCCGUCCCGAGGCCAACAUCAUCUGGGACCGCUGGAUAAGACCUCAGGAAUGUAGCUUCCCUCGGGAAGUGUUAUAGCCUGUGGUGAUGCAGCGCGUCUCGGGUGAGGUCCGCGCUUCGGCAAGGAUGUUGGCGUAAUGGUUGUCAGCGGCCCGUCUUGAAACACGGACCAAGGAGUCUAACAUCUAUGCGAGUGUUCGGGUGUCAAACCCCUACGCGUAAUGAAAGUGAACGGAGGUGGGAAGGGUAACCUGCACCAUCGACCGAUCCUGAUGUCCUCGGAUGGAUUUGAGUAAGAGCAUAGCUGUUGGGACCCGAAAGAUGGUGAACUAUGCCUGAAUAGGGUGAAGCCAGAGGAAACUCUGGUGGAGGCUCGCAGCGGUUCUGACGUGCAAAUCGAUCGUCAAAUUUGGGUAUAGGGGCGAAAGACUAAUCGAACCAU